GACGAACGCUGGCGGCGUGCUUAACACAUGCAAGUCGAACGGAAAGGCCCUGCUUGCAGGGUGCUCGAGUGGCGAACGGGUGAGUAACACGUGGGUGAUCUGCCCCUUACUUUGGGAUAAGCCUGGGAAACUGGGUCUAAUACUGGAUAGGACCAUGCUGUAGGUGGUGUGGUGGAAAGAUUUUUUCGGUAAGGGAUGAGCUCGCGGCCUAUCAGCUUGUUGGUGGGGUAAUGGCCUACCAAGGCGUCGACGGGUAGCCGGCCUGAGAGGGUGGACGGCCACAUUGGGACUGAGAUACGGCCCAGACUCCUACGGGAGGCAGCAGUGGGGAAUAUUGCACAAUGGGCGCAAGCCUGAGGCAGCGACGCCGCGUGGGGGAUGACGGCCUUCGGGUUGUAAACUCCUUUCAGCCAUGACGAAGCCUCUUUUGGGGUGACGGUAGUGGUAGAAGAAGCACCGGCUAACUACGUG
rnacentral:rRNA from 1 species